rnacentral:lncRNA from 10 species
GUGGGUAGCAGUCAUCGGCAGAGAAAACAUGAUGUAUUUGUCACCUAUGGCUGUCCUGUGCCCUGGAGAUUGGAUUCAAUGAGAUUCAAAUCCCGGUUCUCUGCCCUCAAUGGUGGUUCAGUGCUUGUACCACCCCGUGCCAGGUCCUGGGCAAGUGUUUUCACUCGUCCCUCUUUCUCUUGGUCCUUGUGUUUCCAAGAGCUGCCUUGGGACUGGCUCAUGUCAGUCUGUGCAGGAAGCUCAGCCCGUUUACCACUUUCCACAGGAAAAUCUGCCCCCAAGCACAUCAUGAGUUUAGGACCAUUACUGAUGAUUGGUGAGGGCACAGGAAGCUACUGCACCACAAACCAUUGUCUUCUCCUACCUUGCCGGUCUAUCUGGACCUCCCUGGCCUUCCUCUGCCUUCUCCUUUCUCUGGAAGUUGCUCCUUUUCUUCUAUGAGAGCGUGCCAUCCUUGCAUAUUCAGGUCCCCAUGGGGACUCACUUCCCCCCAACAAAUACAUUUGCCUUCCUAAGGAGAGUUCUGAUGAAUACAAUGUUCUACAUAUACAUAACUGUAUCCAUUUGUGUUUUGCAGAGCAUUGAAAUCAUAUAGCAGCAUCAUCCAGACCUGCAGAAUCAUACGUGAUCAUAGCCAGUUCACACUGAAAAAAGCCUUGUAGGAGAUUCGCCAACCUAAUCAUUCAGCUUACAGGUGCCUGAAACAAAGAAAAGAAAUGCAGAUAAUUGGAUCUUCAUGACAAUUUCCCAACUGGCCACUUUCCCUGUAACAAGACCAAGCCUGUCUCUUCCAUAUGGGUCAGCCAUAUCCCACCCACUCCUCCUGGGAUUUGACUUGGGGAAUGUGGACAGAAUCACACAGUCAGUAGAAGUUGGAAAGUAGGCGGAAGUGGCCACAUGGGGUAGGGACAUAUCAGAGUUAUGAUGAAUCAGAAGCAGAAGCCCCAAGUUGAAGAAGAGAUACAAAGCUUGGAAGCAGGAAGAGAUGGAGCGGACACACAAAGGAAUCCAACACUGGAGAACGGCAACGUAAAGGUGGCGUGCUAGGGGAAAGCUCCAGAAUUCCUGCAGCUGGGCGCUGGAGCCACCCUGAACUUUCAAAGACCUCCCUAUUCCAGUCUCCACAAUCCCAGGUCCUGGUAUGUCCCUGGAUUUGGGGGGAGAUUCUGGCUCCUUUGUAGCACCACAAUAAACCCUUAUUGCCUGAGUUAUCCCAAGUGACUCCCUGUUCUUUAUGGGCUCACAAGCCAACACACC